GUUUUAAUAAUUUAAAACAAAAUAUUGAUUUUGUAAAUCAAAAAUGAAAUAUAUUCUUAAAACU
rnacentral:tRNA from 1 species